GAUGAACGCUGGCGGCAUGCCUAACACAUGCAAGUCGGACGGGAAGUGGUGUUUCCUGUGGCGGAUGGGUGAGUAACGCGUACGAACCUGCCAUGGGGAGGGGAACACCUGCUGGAAACGGCUGCUUAUAGCACGUAGGCUGAGGAGCAAAAGGAGGAAUCAGCCCGAAGAGGGGCUUGCGUCUGAUUAGCUAGCAGGUGAGGCACUAGCUUACCAAGGCGAUGAUCAGUAGCUGGUGGGAGAGGAUGAUCAGCCACACUGGGACGGGGACACGGCCCAGGCACCUUCGGGAAUCGGCAGUAGGGAGGUUGCCGCAAUGCGCGGGAGCGUGACAGGGCAAUGGCGCGUUGAAGUAGAUUGCCCGGGGAGCAUGGGCGUCAUGUCCCGAAGAAGAAUCAAUGACGGUAUCUGGAGAAUAAGCACCGGCUAACUCCGUG
rnacentral:rRNA from 1 species